GGGCUCUCAAAGGGCCUUGCAUCUCCAGCGUCGGCGUCCACGACGCCGGGGACCAGCGACCAUGCGGCCACUUUCCUGUUGCGCUCUCGUCCGUCUCCACAAUUUGUGCAGACCAAAGACAAAGUAAGAGUGUGCUGAAAGAAGAAAUUGACCUACUUAAGGUGGAACCAAACGAAAGCGAAGUGGAUCUAGAAAGAAGCAUUUAACGACUGGCCGCACCAGACCAAACCGUAGCAGAACUCAACUGAAGGCAACUGCGGGCCCGCGGCCGCAAUGAGUCAACAGAUGAAGUGUUUGAGAAGACAAAUUAUUAUUCUUUGGGGAGAGUGCAUAAAUCUUCGAUAAGCGAAGGAAUGCAGUCUAUCAGAUGAUGAAAAGCAGAAGGAAUCCCUUCUCAGAGAGUGAAAUCCAAAACUGGUGCUUUCAAAUAUUUCAAGAUCUGAUUUACAUGCAUUCGCAUGGAUAUUUCCAAUGCGACCUUAAUCCUGAUAUGUGGUUUUGCAUUUUUUUUACAAACAAUAUUGCAAUGGUUGAUCUAUGAUUCCUGUUUGUUGUGAAACAAGUUUCUAGCCCCAACCAUUUUCACAUGACAUUUUAGAUAAGAAAAUAGUUCUCCAUAUAGCUCAAUCUUCAUGUUUAAAAUAUCAUGUGUAUUUGACUGGAGGGACUAUCAGUUAUAAGCCCAAGAAUAGCUGCCUUGCAAUUUUCCUA